UAUUUGUAGGUUUUUUCUAUGAGUUAUGCUAUGGGCAAGAGCUGCAUAGGUCAAGAUUGCUCGCUGUUGCUGAUAUAUAUGCUCCUGUUAAAUUCCAAUAAUUUAUGCAUUUUAUUACAUUGGCGACAACUAUUUCAAGACUAAAGCAGAGCCACAAUUACAAUAUGCACCAACGAAGACUUUGGCAGGACAUAUAGAGCAAUACAAAGAGCAAGAUUUCUUGGAAUGAAAGGAAGCCAAGAGAAAAGAAGUGAGUCACAAAAAAAGAUUGAAGAGCGGUAUGUAAUGCUGAGUAAGAGCUAGAAAGGUAACAACACACAAGGAAGUCGAAGAAAGCACACGAAGAUGCUACAAAACUGCAGGAACUAAUGGACCAGGGAUUUGAGACGCAUACGAUGGAGCACAGGCAAAAAAAAAUGAAGAUCCUAAGGAGGAGAAGAGGACGAAUGUGAAGUAGAGGAUAUCAAUGGUGGGGAGGAUGAGAUCAUGAUGGAUGAUUUGCUGGAAGAGGGAAGAGAUGGAAACGACAAGGGAAUGUGCACUGAUACUACAAAAGCAGAAACAGUGGAAACAUUAAACAUUACGUCCUCCCCAAAUUUAAGCAAAACAAAAAAAAACAUUACGUCCUCCAAGUUUGCGAGUAAUAUAAACCAA